ACGAAGGGUGCAAGCGUUAAUCGGAAUUACUGGGCGUAAAGCGUGCGUAGACGGCCUGUUAAGUCGGAUGUGAAAGCCCCGGGCUCAACCUGGGAAUGGCAUCCGAUACUGAUGGGCUAGAGUGCGGUAGAGGAGAGCGGAAUUCCCGGUGUAGCGGUGAAAUGCGUAGAGAUCGGGAGGAACAUCCGUGGCGAAGGCGGCUUGCUGGGACGGUACUGACGCUGAGACGCGAAAGCGUGGGGAGCAAACAGGA
rnacentral:rRNA from 1 species